UACUUCUUCGGACAAUAGUACAAGGUGCUGCAUGGUUGUCGUCAGCUCGUGCUGUGAAGUGUUGGGUUAAGUCCCGCAACGAGCGCAACCCCCGCUGCCUGUUGCCACCACGAGAGGUGGGGACUCAGGCGGGACCGCCGGUGACAAACCGGAGGAAGGUGGGGACGACGUCAAGUCAUCAUGGCCCUUAUGUCCUGGGCUACACACGUGCUACAAUGGCCGGUACAGAGCGCAGCGAGGCCGCGAGGCGGAGCGAAUCGCUUAAAGCCGGUCCCAGUACGGAUUGGAGUCUGCAACCCGACUCCAUGAAGUUGGAAUCGCUAGUAAUCGCGCAUCAGCAUGGCGCGGUGAAUACGUUCCCGGGCCUU
rnacentral:rRNA from 1 species